rnacentral:rRNA from 1 species
GACGAACGCUGGCGGCGUGCUUAACACAUGCAAGUCGAACGGAAAGGCCCUGCUUUUGUGGGGUGCUCGAGUGGCGAACGGGUGAGUAACACGUGAGUAACCUGCCCUUGACUUUGGGAUAACUUCAGGAAACUGGGGCUAAUACCGGAUAGGAGCUCCUGCUGCAUGGUGGGGGUUGGAAAGUUUCGGCGGUUGGGGAUGGACUCGCGGCUUAUCAGCUUGUUGGUGGGGUAGUGGCUUACCAAGGCUUUGACGGGUAGCCGGCCUGAGAGGGUGACCGGCCGGAUUGGGAGGGAGAGCGGACCCGGACUCCUCCGGGGGCCAGAAGGGGGAAAUGGUGCACAGGGGGGGGAGCCCUGAUGCCGCACCGGCGGGGGGGGGAUGACGGCUUUGGGUUUGAAAACCGCUUCCGCGGGUGAAGGAGGGGGGGGGAGGGAAGGGGGAAAAGAGGCACGGGCAAACGAGGGC